rnacentral:sRNA from 1 species
UCUUCGGCCGCCGUUAGGUUGUGGCUGCUGUAGUUGCCGAAGCAACACUGGCUAGAACGCCAGACAGGGGCCACUUUUCGAGACCGAGUAGAGACGGACAGUGAGGAGGAUAGGACCCACUUACACGCUUUUAUGUCAGCCGCGAUCCCACCCCCACAAGCGUCUGCAAAACGCUUCCUCGGGCGUUGGCGACAGCCCUGUGUCCCCACGGCGCGCAGAAGCGGCGCCGCGAACCUUGUGCGCAUUUCACACGACGGCGGGGACUGAAGUCCCUCGCAGCCCAGAGCCGGAGCCCGGGGUCUGCCAAGCCCGCAGGACCGGCUUCCUCGCCGACUCUCACGGCCUCACCCCGCCCCUUGGGCCCAUGGCGGCGCCGGCGUUGGUGAGUGGAGGGUUCCGCAGCCCGCGCGAGCUCGGGUCACCGCCCGCACGCACCCAUCCGCUGUAAUACGGGGGAUGCCGGGACUCUGCGCUUCUCCCUUUUGAUGCCCUAGGAUAUGGAGAUCCCGGGAGAGGGUGAGGUGAGAGGGCAGGGCUAAUCACUUGCUACCCAGGGUCCUGCAUCCAGGACAGGAGUUGUAAGGAGAGGUCCCUGUUUCUGGCUCUAACCUUGAGCUGUCGCCUCGCUGCCCUCGGCCUCCAUUCCCUCGGGUCUAAAAUGCGAGUCUCAAUAAUUUUAUCUGUGGAGGGAACUGGAGCGGGUACGCUUGUGACGUGGGUACUAUCUUUCAGUGCUCGGAGAGCAUUAGGUGCCGUCUUUGAAGAAGGACUCCCCAGGUCCUGCUAUUGUUUUAGGGGGUCAUUCCAGCCGAAGUCUGGCCCUACCAAAAGCUAGGAGAGGGAAUGAGAGCCUCGAGGGCAAGAGGCAUUAGUAUCAUUUGAAGACGUGGUUGUGACCUUCACUGGAGAGGAAUGGGGGCACCUGGACCUGGCCCAGAGGACCCUGUACCAGGAGGUGAUGCUGGAGACCUGCAGGCUCUUGGUCUCACUGGGGCAUCCUGUUCCCAAACCAGAGCUGAUCUAUCUACUGGAACAUGGACAGGAACUGUGGACAGUGAAGAGAGGCCUCUCCCAAAGCACCUGUGCAGGUUGGUGACUGAGAGUCUGGCAGCGGGUAUCAGGGCAGCCUGCAGACCACCCCAGGCAUCACUGUGUCUGAAAUGCCAUGGGCAGCUAUUUUGUGGUCUUGAGCAGUCAUGGAGCCCUUGACCCCAUGGUCCCCCAUCUUCCCACUCCUGUCACACACUCUUUGCCUUUAUUCAGGUUGGAAUAUGUUAGGUAGGAGACAGAUUCUAGGCUUUAAUGAUUUGCCACUCACUAGCCUCAUGACUCUGGAGAAGUUAUGUGAUGUCACUGUGCCUUUGGUAUAUAAGUUAGGCUGA